UACGCAGCCGCCGCCAAAUCCUGGAGAAGUGGAAUCUCGCCGGCGCCGCUCCCUGCGCGGGACCGGCGGGGCGGCGCUGGGCAUGCUCAGUCGCCGAGCCCGGUCCGGUCUCCAGUAGGAAGAUCGCGCGCUGCACCCGCGGCCGAUCCGGGCGCUCCCGGGAGGGCGAGACUCGGGCAGAGCCGCCACGCGCCGGAGCCGAGGCGAUCGCCGCGCGCCCCGCUGGUCUGGGUGUCCGUGGGUGAGCCGCUGUGGUCUGCAGCCAAGCAUGCUGUGGUCGGAUCUGCCCAGCCGGGGAGCAGAAACGUUCGCUGGAUGGAAAAUCCAUAAAAGAAAGCCCCUGUGAAAGAAAGGCUGAGACCGGCGACAUAACUUAAGCACAAUCAGAAGAGCAGCACAAGCGAGCCGUGAGGAAGGAAACCAAACCCGAGGGAGAGUGUGAUGGCUCCUCUCUGCCCGUCGCUGGAAAAGAGGCAGGUGAGGGCCUCUAAAUAGCUCCUGCGGCCCCAGUGGGCCUUAAGUUCAGGUGCUCUGGACAUGACAGAACAGGAGGAGCUGCUGCUUCUUGUUCCCGUUGGCCGCUGCCUGGCCUGGCGGUGAGCACGGCAUGAUUCACUCGGACAACUGCGGAAGGAAACCCUUGUCUUAGCGGCCGUUAGAUAUUUCAGGGGAAUCCGCUUUGCAGAAGGGCAUGUGGUGAAGAUGCUUUGGCAGCUGAUGGAAUUUGAAGUAGCAUUUACAUCACCAACUGAAAUAAAAUUGAUGUUUUGUGUCCCCAAGGUGAUUUACAGCCUGAGUUCUCUGACGGAGGGAUUGAUCUCCUUGGCAAGUCUCUAUGAAAUAACAGCGCAGGAAGAGAAAUUAUAUGCGUGCACCAAGCUUUGCGAUUUAUUUUGUAAGCCCUCUUCACAGGGAGCGUGUAAUCUUGUGUGCAACUAACUAACAGCAGGGGGCUGUUCUUUGUCCUCACAGACUUGCUCGGUUUCCGGAGACAAUGGGGCUACUGCAGAGAGAGGCUUUCCUUCUCUGCAUCCACAUUUCUAUUAAGGUCAUUACUGCAUUGGGCUCUUUCAUGGAGCCCUUUUGGUCAUAUCAACAGCUCGUUCUAAGCUAUCUACCGUGUUUCCCCGAAAAUAAGAGCAAGAGCGAGACCCCGUCUCUACUAAAAAUAGAAACAAAUUAA